rnacentral:lncRNA from 1 species
UGGUGGUAGGUGCUGGUUCUGCUGGCUAGCCACACAUACACAAUAGUGCAUACACAUGUGUACACGCUCACACUCCUUGUCAGGCAUCUUGCCGCUCCCCCUAAUAAUCACCAUCAGUAUCUAUAGCACAGCCAGGCCAGGAUGAGCUCUUUCCAGAAUCUGCUCAGGCUGGGCUGCAGAUGAUGGAUCUGAGGGCACCCGGGGCCUGCAGAGCACAGCAUGCAGGAAACUGCUCACAGUCACUGUUGUCAGUGUUCACGCCAUCACAGGCAGACUCGCCGGCAUACCACACCACCCAUCACAGGCACCGAAGCCAAACCACGUUGGGGAUUCAUCUAUUUAUAGGGACCACGUUUUUCUUGCAUGCCCACAGCGUGGCAGCUGCAGCAGGGGUCUGAAGCCCUGGUCACUGCCGGUGGCCUGGCACCAUGGGGGCUGUGCCCAGUGGGCUUUGGAAGGUGAGCAGUGGACAAAGAGGCCCCACCCUAACCAUCUUCUCCUUGCCUGGAACCUGGCGGCUCUGUGCUUGCAUCUUGAUUCCAGCUGACCCUGCUUUUCCACUCUGGGUGGCAACUCUUGAACCCAGGUCUUACUGACCCCAGAGAGUCAGCCACUGCUCCCUGUUGCCUUCCUGGGCCAGAGACUCUCACGGGGCUGUCUGCACUAAAGUGUUCUUUCUAUCCCCUGGCGCCCUGAGCAUCAAAGAAGCUUUACUCACUACGUGGGGACCCCUCGCCUUGGAUCACAAAGAGUCUCGACCUUCCUGGACAUCAGCUCAGACCAGAUGAUGUUAAAAAGCUUCGUUGCCGUUGCUGUCUGAUUGAUUACCAGCCAGAUACUCCCUGAACCCAUGCCCAGCCACCCACGCCUCCCUAAUUUCAAGGUCUGAAGGCCAGAUGGACUCAAGCAAGCCAUUUGCCUUUCUGAAAUCUCAGCUGCCUCAUCUGAGCAAGUGAGAUAAGCCGGCUUAUCUUGCCGCUGUGAAGCUGUCUGCAAGGCAAGGUGCCUAAUAAACGUCAGCCAUUACUCACGGGAAUCAAAGCAAAUGCUUAGCGAGCCUUCCUUUGUGCCAGGCACUGUUCUGAGCGCUCUAUGCAUAUGAAUUUGUUUAAUCCUCGCCACCACCUGGGAAGCAGAUACCAUUAUUAUUCCCAUUUUACAGGGGAGGAAACUGAGACAUAGAAAGGCAAAGUCAUUCAGAAUUAAGGUCACACAGUUCGUAGAAGACGGCUGAACACAAGAGGCCUGG